rnacentral:rRNA from 1 species
AUGGUUCCUGACGGGAACCUAACAUGGCAAUGUUUAAGAAAAUUGUACGCUGGCCCUAGAGAAAGCAAGAAAGGAAGACCCCCACAUACACCAGAUAAGAUGAAUGGUCCAGAGAAAUGCAAUGCUUGUGGUGUUCCGAGCCAUGCUUUAUGUUUGGUACAGGCACGCACUGCCUAUGGAAGAUAUGCAAUGCCCUGGGAGUUUAGAUAUGCUGAAAAUGAGAGGCUGGUUUUAUGUUCCCAACUGGAAAUAAUAAUUGAGGAAUCAACAAGCUCAGAUGCAGGGCGGUUUGUCAUAUACCACCCUAGUCAUACUCUUGGUCUCAUAAAUGGGAUUAGUGUUCCUAGUCGUGUCUUAUUUGCACUCUCUUUUCCGCCCCGUUUUUGCAUUCUUAAAGGUUGCCAAGCAAUGGAUAUAUGCAGAAGAAAACAGGUUGUAAUCUAG